rnacentral:sRNA from 1 species
UCGUUCUGUACGCAAUAGCAAUCUACUUUUCCACGCUAGAAUGGCCGGUAUCGGCUUAGUUUUACUUUGAUUUACCAGGAAUAUAUUAUGUCUAACACAGUGACUGGCACUGUAAAGUGGUUCAACGAAACUAAAGGUUUUGGUUUCAUCCAACAAGAGAAUGGUCCCGAUGUUUUUGCUCACUUCAGCGCGAUUCAAGGUGACGGUUUCCGUACCCUAGCUGAAGGUCAAGCUGUUGAGUUUGUCAUUUCGCAAGGACAAAAAGGCCCUCAAGCUGAAAACAUUAAAGUCCUAUAAUUAAACAUAUAGGCAAGAAUAUUUAGAAAAUAGCCAGCGUUGUAUGCUGGCUAAUUUUU